rfam:Agrilus planipennis Contig65124, whole genome shotgun sequence.
CCCGAAGUAGCUUAGUGGUCAGAGCAUUGGCGCGUAAAGUCAAAGAGCCCGGGUUCGAUUCCCGGCGGGG